CCGGGCCCGGGAGAUGGAGACAAACAGACGCUCAUUCACGCCUGGGCGCAAGGUUCCCCGACUUCACCCAACUAAAUUCAAGAUCCGCGGCUCUGCGUCAAUGUGUCAGUUUUCCGGCGCUAGGCAGACUCAUAGUCAAAAUGAGCCAAUUAAAUUUGGAGGCAUGCACCGGCUCCGCUUUUCGCCGCGCGAAUAGUCGGAGAUGACACCUCGGGUUCGGGCGUAACCUUCCCUUCUUCACAUUUUUUAACAACGGCUCGUCUUAUCGCUGCCAUGAAGAUGCGUGAGCCGAGCCGGAUAGUUGCUGCCUGGUCCGGUUCGCUCGGGCGGUUUUCCUGACGAGAAUGCUGCCCCUGCUCAAGAAAGCCAUCGAGAAGGAACGCAAAGCUUCGCCGGGUCGCGCCUGGCGCUACUCGUACUCGCCGGUGGCCCAGUCGGAAGCCCCCGCGGCCCCCUCCUCCCCCCCGGAAGCCCCCCCGCCCGAGCCACAAGCAGAGGCCCAGCGGCCCCGAAGGAUCAACAACUUUCGCGUUUCCACCAUGGACGAUCGCAAGGAGUUGGUGGCGAAGAACCGGUCGGGGAAGCGGAAGUUCAUCCUCCUGACGGUGAUCCCUGUCAUGAUUCUGGGGAUCGCGGCCGUGUUGUUGCUCACCUUGGGCGACGGCGAUGGCGCCGGGGACAAGGGCGCGACCCCCUCCAGGGCCCUCCCUCUCUCGGACAUCACCGAGGGCUGGUUCGACCGCUCCUCCCCCGUUUGGAACGGCACUUGGGUCUCAGACACUGAGAUCCUGAUGAAAGAUGAACAUGAAAAUCUCAUCCUUCACGAUGUGGAAGCUGCAAAGUCGACAGUUGUCCUUGAAAAUAACCCAGAUAAGCUGCUUUCAACAGGUAUCCAGUAUGAACUCUCAGCAGACAAAAGGUACAUAAUGAUCGCCACAACUUAUACCAGGGUGAGUGUCUAUACUCGAGUGUAGUGUGAAAACGCUCACUGAUUAACCAGGCUUUUAUUUGGUUAUUUUAGCUAGUAUUGUUCAGGACGUUGGUCCAUCUAUGAAAUAUUAAGUAGCAUUGAUAGACUAGCUGUUAAAGGACUUUAAAACAACUUAAAAAAACUGUUAAAAUCAGGAAACCCUUUAAAUCCUUUUUAAGCAAAAAUGUGACGUUUAUGUUAAGAAAAAAAUUAUGAAAAGAUAUUGACUUUAAAAUUUUGUUAAAUUCUAAA
rnacentral:lncRNA from 1 species